ACCUAGCUGGCUCAGUCAGUAGAGUGUGUGACUCUUGAUCUCGGAGUCGUUAGUUCAAGUCCCACUUUAGGUG
rnacentral:tRNA from 1 species